UACGUAGGGGGCAAGCGUUGUCCGGAAUCAUUGGGCGUAAAGCGCGCGUAGGCGGCCCGGUAAGUCCGCUCUGAAAGUCCAGGGCUUAACCCUGGAAAGCGGGUGGAUACUGCCGGGCUUGAAUCCGGAAGAGGCGAGUGGAAUUCCUGGUGUAGCGGUGGAAUGCGCAGAUAUCAGGAGGAACACCAAUAGCGAAGGCAGCUCGCUGGGACGGUAUUGACGCUAAGGCGCGAAAGCGUGGGGAGCAGACAGG
rnacentral:rRNA from 1 species